rnacentral:lncRNA from 1 species
CGACACAACCUUGCCCCGCCGCCGCCGUUGGAGCUCCUUGGCGGCCUUUUUCUUGUUCCUCGCCGUCUCUUUAUCCUUAUGCCUCUUCUACUUCUCGGCGAGGAGGCGGUUUUGCUGCCGCCGCUGUGCGUCCUCUGGCACCGGCGGGCGCGAGUCCAUGACCCAGGUCAUGUGGCCCUGCAGACACAAGAACUCCGCGUCAGAGCAACGAACCAAGAAAUGCAGGAGAGAAGGAUGAG